GUGGCUCCCAUUUUGGCUGUAGUGUUUCCAAGCGCAUGGCUGAGAGAGCACAUUGUUUUUGUUUAUCUCCGGAGGGAAACCGAGUGGAUUAUUGACUGAAGCACGCCAGCUAAACUGAGUUUUUAUGGAUAUAAAGAUGGACUUAAUCGAACAAAAGGACUAUUUGUAAUGUAACUGGGACCUUUUGGAGUGCCAACAGAAGAAGAUCUUCAAAGGACCUGAGCCCUAGGACCAUGCCUCAGGACUACCUGGCAUGAUGACUCCUUGUUGUCCCCAGUCCACCUGGCCGUGCUGCUGCUCCAGUUUCAACUGUUCUGCCUGCGGCUAUGGAACCCUGACCUGUUCACUGUGAUUACUAUUAUUUGACCAUGCUGGUCAUUUAUGAACAUUUGAACAUCUUGUCCAUGUUCUGUUAUCGCCACCCGGCACAGCCAGAAGAGGACUGGCCACCCCUCAUAGCCUGGUUCCUCUCUACGUUUCUUCCUAGGUUUUGGCCUUUCUAGGGAGUUUUUUCCUAGUCACUGUGCUUCUACACCUACAUUGGUUGCUGUUUG
rnacentral:lncRNA from 1 species